GAGUGAAGCGGCAACAGCUCAAAUUUGAAAUCUGGCUCUUUCAGAGUCCGAGUUGUAAUUUGUAGAGGGUGCUUUGGCGUUGGCCGUGGUCUAAGUUCCUUGGAACAGGACGUCACAGAGGGUGAGAAUCCCGUACGUGGCCGCCGGUCUUCGCCGUGUAAAGCCCCUUCGACGAGUCGAGUUGUUUGGGAAUGCAGCUCUAAAUGGGAGAUAAAUUUCUUCUAAAGCUAAAUAUUGGCCAGAGACCGAUAGCGCACAAGUAGAGUGAUCGAAAGAUGAAAAGCACUUUGGAAAGAGAGUCAAAAAGCACGUGAAAUUGUUGAAAGGGAAGCGCUUGCAGCCAGACGUGCCCGCAGUUGCUCACCUGGGCUCUCGCCCGGGGCAUUCUUCUGCGGGCAGGCCAGCAUCAGUUCGGGCGGUUGGAUAAAGGCCUCUAUCACGUACCAUCCUUCGGGAUGUCCUUAUAGGGGAGGCGCAACACGACCAGCCUGAACUGAGGACCGCGCAUUUGCUAGGAUGCUGGCGUAAUGGCUGUAAGCGGCCCGUCUUGAAACACGGACCAAGGAGUCUAACAUCUAUGCGAGUGUUUGGGUGUAAAGCCCGGACGCGCAAUGAAAGUGAACGGAGGUGGGAACCCCUCGGGGUGCACCAUCGACCGAUCCUGAAGUCUUCGGAUGGAUUUGAGUAAGAGCAUAGCUGUUGGGACCCGAAAGAUGGUGAACUAUGCCUGAAUAGGGUGAAGCCAGGGGAAACCCUGGUGGAGGCUCGCAGCGGUUCUGACGUGCAAAUCGAUCGUCAAAUUUGGGCAU
rnacentral:rRNA from 1 species